GAUCCUGGCUCAGGACGAACGCUGGCGGCGUGCCUAACACAUGCAAGUCGAGCGGGGAGAGAUUUUCGGAUUUCUCUUUAGCGGCGGACGGGUGAGUAACACGUGGGUAACCUGCCUCAAAGUGGGGGAUAGCCUUCCGAAAGGAAGAUUAAUACCGCAUAAUAUCAGAGCGCUGCAUGGUGCUGUGAUUAAAGGAGCAAUCCGCUUUGAGAUGGACCCGCGGCGCAUUAGCUAGUUGGUGAGGUAACGGCCCACCAAGGCGACGAUGCGUAGCCGACCUGAGAGGGUGAUCGGCCACAUUGGAACUGAGACACGGUCCAGACUCCUACGGGAGGCAGCAGUGGGGAAUAUUGCACAAUGGGGGAAACCCUGAUGCAGCAACGCCGCGUGAGUGAUGAAGGCCUUCGGGUCGUAAAGCUCUUUGAUCAGGGACGAUAAUGACGGUACCUGAAAAGCAAGCCACGG
rnacentral:rRNA from 1 species